rnacentral:tRNA from 1 species
GUAGUGGUCGUUCAGUGGUAGAAUUCUUGCCUUCCAUGCAGGAGGCCUGGGUUUGAUCCCUGGCCAAGGCG